rnacentral:lncRNA from 1 species
UAAUUAUAGUAGAGAUCUCUAAUUGCAGAAGAUUACUAUUUUUCUCCAAGUUUCCAGUUCUUCUACUAUUGGGAUAUUUGCUCGGAGCCUUACUGGCCUGGUAAUUGAAGACUCUAGUUGCUCUAUUCCUGGUUAUUUUGGGGAGAAUUGUAGAAUCAUAGAACAUUCUGAGUUAGAAGGGACACGCAAAACCUAAUGAUUGCAUUUACUGGCUUCCCUUGGUCAAAUAGAUAGGUAACCUUGUCAUAAAAGAAAAUCAAGUUAGAAGGAAAGGGCUAGCUCUCCCUGGGUGACUAAUUGCCUUCACAAAUUGUCUUUUCCAGCAUAUCUCACAUUGGAAAUAGAUAACUGCAACUUCUGUUUAAUGUGAGAGAGUACAGCUGUGUUCAUGAUUACCUUACUGUGGCCUUGGAGAAACAGUCUGCUUGACUGGCAGAAGCAAAAGAAAUUUCCAGACAAGCAGAACCACUGAAGUGAAGAUUAUGGAGGAAGAGAAACCACAAGAAACUAACACGGAAUGUCUGUGGAUGAUAAUCCCACAUUUUGUAAAAUGCCUGAGUGUGAAAACUCAGAUCGAGCUGACAUUGAAGCCAACAGCAUCCCACAGGAGUUUCCAUCAAAGAUGUGUUAUGCUUUAUGAGCUUUAUGAGGGCAAUGCAACUGGCUCAAAUCUCAAGCAAGAAAUUGCCAGCAAGUUAAGAACACGUGUAUAUAAUUUUGUUCUUAUGGAAGAAAAUUGUGGCCAUUACGUUAACCAACGCAGCAUGCACAAGUACAGGAUAAAGCUGUUCAUCUUCCAGUUCUUAUAUUUCUGUCAGUAGAACUUUGUCGGUUAUUCAUUUUGUGUGUUUAUGUUUAUACAUUAUGUGUCUCUUAAAUUUCCCUUUUGCUAUAUUUGACUUUAUAAAUAGUAGCAUGGUGGGAAUACUACCUAACUUUAAAAUAACUUCACCUUUUAAUUUACUUAGUUGUGAAAAUAUCUGCCUAGCAGGCUGUGACAAGAAUAACUUUGCAAUCUUACCAUCCUCAGCAAUAACAAUUUUUAGGGCCUUAGUUUUAUUAUGUCCUACUUUAUGGAUGAGUUUCUACUACUUGGACAAUUGUGAGUCUCAUUCCUGUACAGGCUUGACUUCACUCCUAAGUGAACAUGAAAACCUCUGAUGGUAUAUGCAAACUUUUACUAUAUCCAUUGAAAUAGUAAGCUGAAGAGCUAAACUGUAAACUGAAUCUGAGCCACAACAGUCUUGGAAGAUAUUUGUGGCAGAAUAAACAUACCAGCUAUAAAGCA